rnacentral:rRNA from 1 species
GACGAACGCUGGCGGCGUGCUUAACACAUGCAAGUCGAGCGGUAAGGCCCUUUCGGGGGUACACGAGCGGCGAACGGGUGAGUAACACGUGGGUGACCUGCCCUCAGCUCUGGGAUAAGCCUGGGAAACCGGGUCUAAUACUGGAUAUGACUCCAUGACGCAUGUUGUGGGGUGGAAAGCCUUGUGCGGCUGAGGAUGGGCCCGCGGCCUAUCAGCUUGUUGGUGGGGUGAGGCCUACCAAGGCGACGACGGGUAGCCGGCCUGAGAGGGCGACCGGCCACACUGGGACUGAGACACGGCCCAGACUCCUACGGAAGGCAGCAGUGGGGAAUCUUGCGCAAUGGGCGAAAGCCUGACGCAGCGACGCCGCGUGAGGGAUGACGGCCU